rnacentral:rRNA from 1 species
CGCACCUGAGCGUCAGUCUUUGUCCAGGGGGCCGCCUUCGCCACCGGUAUUCCUCCAGAUCUCUACGCAUUUCACCGCUACACCUGGAAUUCUACCCCCCUCUACAAGACUCUAGCCUGCCAGUUUCGAAUGCAGUUCCCAGGUUGAGCCCGGGGAUUUCACAUCCGACUUGACAGACCGCCUGCGUGCGCUUUACGCCCAGUAAUUCCGAUUAACGCUUGCACCCUCCGUAUUACCGCGGCUGCUGGCACGGAGUUAGCCGGUGCUUCUUCUGCGGGUAACGUCAAUCGCUGAGGUUAUUAACCUCAACGCCUUCCUCCCCGCUGAAAGUACUUUACAACCCGAAGGCCUUCUUCAUACACGCGGCAUGGCUGCAUCAGGCUUGCGCCCAUUGUGCAAUAUUCCCCACUGCUGCCUCCCGUAGGAGUCUGGACCGUGUCUCAGUUCCAGUGUGGCUGGUCAUCCUCUCAGACCAGCUAGGGAUCGUCGCCUAGGUGAGCCGUUACCCCACCUACUAGCUAAUCCCAUCUGGGCACAUCUGAUGGCAAGAGGCCCGAAGGUCCCCCUCUUUGGUCUUGCGACGUUAUGCGGUAUUAGCUACCGUUUCCAGUAGUUAUCCCCCUCCAUCAGGCAGUUUCCCAGACAUUACUCACCCGUCCGCCGCUCGCCGGCAAAGUAGCAAG